AGUGAACGCUGGCGGCGUGCUUAACACAUGCAAGUCGAACGAGAACGGAUUAUAGCUUGCUAUAAUUGUCAGCUAAGUGGCGCACGGGUGAGUAAUGUAUAGGUAAUAUGCCUCUUACUAAGGGAUAACAAAUGGAAACGUUUGCUAAUACCUUAUACUCCUUAUUAACAGAAGUUAAUAAGGGAAAGAUUGAUUGGUAAGAGAUUAGCCUGUAUUGUAUCAGUUAGUUGGUGGGGUAAUGGCUUACCAAGACUAUGCCACAUAACUGGUUUGAGAGGAUGGUCAGUCGCCCUGGAACUGAGACACGGUCCAGACUCCUACGGGCGGCAGCAGGGGGGAAUAUUGCACAAUGGACGAAAAUCUGAUGCAGCAACGCCGCGUGGAGGAUGACACAUUUCGGUGCGUAAACUCCUUUUAUAUGAGAAGAUAAUGACGGUAUUAUAUGAAUAAGCACCGGCUAACUCCGUGCCAGCCGCCGCCGUAA
rnacentral:rRNA from 1 species